GACGAACGCUGGCGGCGUGCUUAACACAUGCAAGUCGAGCGGUAAGGCCCUUUCGGGGGUACACGAGCGGCGAACGGGUGAGUAACACGUGGGUGACCUGCCCUUAGCUCUGGGAUAAGCCUGGGAAACUGGGUCUAAUACCGGAUAUGACUCCAUGACGCAUGUUGUGGGGUGGAAAGCCUUGUGCGGCUAGGGAUGGGCCCGCGGCCUAUCAGCUUGUUGGUGGGGUGAUGGCCUACCAAGGCGACGACGGGUAGCCGGCCUGAGAGGGCGACCGGCCGACACUGGGACUGAGACACGGCCCAGACUCCUACGGGAGGCAGCAGUGGGGAAUCUUGCGCAAUGGGCGAAAGCCUGACGCAGCGACGCCGCGUGGGGAUGACGGCCU
rnacentral:rRNA from 1 species